GUUGUGAACGAAUAAAGAAACUGUGUUCCAAAUAAUAGAAUUUUAUUCUGUUACAAAAUCUCAGAAAGAAAAACCUGGGAAAUUUAAAAACAAAUACAUGUAAAAUGUAAUAAAACUUAAUAAAUUAAGAGAACAGAACUUAUGAAGGGGAAAGAACAUUCAUGCCCUUUUCAGCCUCACAUACGCCAAUGAUGGCUUUCACAGGUCAGAGUAUGUGAAGCGGUGAUUGUCUUUAAUGUCCUCCGGGUGGAGUGGUAGGGGUAGUGCAGUGACCCUUGAUUUUAAGUUGAAUAUUGAGGGGGGUUGUGAUGCAGGUAAACCACAUGCCUUCUCUUGCCAAGUCUGUAGGCAUGAGCCGAGCACUGACAAAUUCAUAGCUAGAAACCAGACCAGCUCACCUAUCUGUUAAUAUUGAUCAAGAUAGGUGUUACACUUGUAAGGAUGUGUUUACACGCUAUAAAAUGCUUGCAAGCUGCCACAUGCAUCAAUGUUACUUGUAAUGGCUGUAUUCCAUGCCAUAAGGUAAAAUAUGUUUGUUUUAUAAUUGUAAAAAUGCCUGCUCUGAACAUAGGAACUCAGAUGUGAAGAGUGGCUCCACUCGCCCAUCCAGGAGGAUGAUCAAAUGUAAGUGGGCCAUUGUAGAAUACAAGUUUUGUUCAUUGCCCCAUGCAUGCAUGGAGAAGUACAUGCAGAAGGCUCCUUCCAUCAGUUUGAAUGCUGGACGAGGAAAAUAAAACCAGCUGACAUGAAGAUUGUUCAUCUCUUUGUUGUUUGGACUCUUAGAAGGGCUGGAGGUACGAAACAAAAACCAAAGAUCUCCAGGGUCACCCUGGGUUAGCCCUGAAAAGACAUUCACUGCUGACAGAUGACAACAUCUCUGUCAAGUUUUGGAACCAUAGACUUUGUAUCUAUGUCGCCUGCUUUAACCUGUAAAUAACUCUCUCAUUUCUUUUUCCUAGUGAAUAAAUCCUUAAUUCAUUGGUGACCAGCAUUGGUUUUGGUGUGAGAUCUAAGGUACAAACUGACUUGGGGUAAGUGACUGGUCUCUUGGGACUGGGAGCAAUGUGAAUAUUUUGUGAUUUUUGGUGUAAGUGACCAUUUAUCACCAAGUCCAGCUUGCCUGGGGGACAAGAUAGACUGGAAAGCCCAAGGGGACUGUCUGUGACUCCAUGAAUCCUCUUCUUUCUCCUCCUUAUCUGGCUCAGGUGUUCCACAGGUGCGGAAGGGGAGACCUUGAAGGCCACAAUGGCAAUCUGCAGAUAAAACACACAGCGGUACCACUGUCAGUGUAUUCACAAUGGAAAGCGAAACUUCAGAUGCUGAACUCACUCCCCUAAAGUAUUAAGCACUAUAUUCUCUCUUCUGCUUGGAAUUGCUUGUGCCCGGCACCAGUCACAGCACCAGUCAUGGUGGUGGUGAUUUCAGCUCCUAUCUCACUCCUGCGGGUAACAGGCAGAAAGAGCACAGCUGCUGCUGGCAUCCCAAAGCUGCCUGGGCCCAUAUGCUGGUAGCCUGUACUGCAAGAACUGCAGCAGGCACUGCUGAAGUUAUCACUGAGCGGUGUGGCCAAGUAUCCUGCCACGAAGGAAGAAAUAAAGCUGCCCUCCCUAGAAACCGUCAGCCGAGGAUUGCAGAGAACCUCCACGGAAGCUUCAUUGAGAUCUCUCAGGAGGAUUCAAGGGACAUCCCUGUGUACAUAAACAAAUGGCUCUGGAUGGCCACCCCUGCCGAACUCUACAGGAGACUGAAAAGCAGAUAGCAACUCUACCUCUCUUGGUUGUGCCACUGCCUCUUCUAGCACGAGUAAAUUAACGAUCAAUCAAACGAUGUGGCCUGCUACUUUGCCAUCCCUGUAAUUUAAAAUUAAACUGCACACUUAUCGGAGGUUCCUUCCCCUGCAUCGGGCUUGCCCAUGCUCGGCUGCCAGGACUGACUGGGCUGCGGUGGAGUCAAAACCAGGUCCUGACUCACUGCACAGCUGGAUCUCCUGGUCGCCCGUCUCCCAUUCUCCUCCUCCUCACUGUUCACGGCAGGGUCCUGUGACUGGCUCCUCAGAGGUAUGCACGGUGCUGUGGGUGGUGGUGUCUCCACUGAGUAGAACAUGUGGCUCUUUGAAAAAGCAGCAGGUCUGCAGCUCAGCACCAAAUUGAUUGUUGGCCUCCCUGGCCUUCUGGUCUGCCUGCUGCAGCUCCUUGGCUUUCACCCUGCACUGCUGCUGGUCCCUGUCGUAGCCUGUAGAUGUCCACAUUUCUGCAGGUGGUUCGGAGCUCUGCCUGCGCAGCAUCUUCUCCCCACAGGCCCAGGAGAUCCAGUACCUCCUCUGUACUCCAAAGGAUGUGUAGCCAGCAUGGUCAGCUGGGCAGCUCCACGCAACAAUGGAGAGCUGCCAGGUGUGGCAAUGAGGAAAAGGAAUUUCAAACAUUCAGGGGCUUUAAAGGGGAGGAGGGGCUUCCAGCCUCUGCGACCCCUGGACAGCGGAGUUCACAGGGCUGACCAGAGCAGUCAGUGUGGAGCAUUGUGGGACACCUGCUGGAGGACAGUUAGGGUCGACGUGAGCCGAGACAAUGGGGUAGGAAGACAGAAAUCAUCUGGCGAAAGGACCUGUGUCACACUUCCCCCUCCAGUGAACCCUCGGGUAUAGAGCUACAGUGACUGCUUCUCAGGUAAGGAGCAACCUCAAUGCUAGAACCUCCGUCACACUGGGGAUAUGGAUAAACAUGGUAGCCCCUGACUCAGGCCAGGUCUACACUAGGAAAUUAGGUCAGUAUAACUACAUCACUCAGAGGUGUGAAAAAUCCAC